CCCGCUCAGAAACUCAAAGGAAUUGACGGGACCCGCACAAGCAGCGGAGCAUGUGGUUUAAUUCGAAGCAACGCGAAGAACCUUACCAGAUCUUGACAUCCAAUUGACCAUCUUUUAAUCGAGAUUUUGCCUUCGGGUACAAUUGAGACAGGUGGUGCAUGGUUGUCGUCAGCUCGUGUCGUGAGAUGUUGGGUUAAGUCCCGCAACGAGCGCAACCCUUGUGUUUAGUUGCAAACAGGUCAAGCUGUGCACUCUAGACAGACUGCCGUGGACAACACGGAGGAAGGUGGGGAUGACGUCAAAUCAUCAUGCCCCUUAUGAUCUGGGCUACACACGUGCUACAAUGGCCGGUACAACGGGCAGCGAAGGAACGAUCCGGAGCGAAUCCUAAAAAGCCGGUCCCAGUUCGGAUUGCAGGCUGAAACUCGCCUACAUGAAGUUGGAGUUGCUAGUAAUCGCGAAUCAGAAUGUCGCGGUGAAUGCGUUCCCGGGUCUU
rnacentral:rRNA from 1 species